UACGGGGGGGGCAAGCGUUGUUCGGAAUUACUGGGCGUAAAGGGUUCGUAGGCGGCCUACUAAGUCAGACGUGAAAUCCCCCGGCUUAACCUGGGAACUGCGUCUGAUACUGGAAGGCUUGAGUAUGGGAGAGGGAUGUAGAAUUCCAGGUGUAGCGGUGAAAUGCGUAGAUAUCUGGAGGAAUACCGGUGGCGAAGGCGGCAUCCUGGACCAUUACUGACGCUGAGGCGCGAAAGCUAGGGGAGCAAACGGGG
rnacentral:rRNA from 1 species